UUUGGAAAUUGCAUGAGUUGAACAAUUAGGUACUAUGGAAUAUAAUAGUAUGGAAUGAAAGAAAUGGAACUUGUUAUGAUAUAUAGUAUGCCUUUAUUUUGACAUCUUUGAAGAAAUUAAUAUACAAACUCCUUUUCAUUACCUUGUUUGUUAGUUGCAUUAGAAUUCAUUGAAUUUAAGUGUUGAUUUAGCGUUCUGGAUAGGUCUAGGUGGAGAAUAACUUAGUUGGUGUGAAGUGAGAAAUUGUUAUUUUUCUUAGUUUAAAUUUGGUUUAAUUGCACUUUUCCCCUCUAUAGUUUGCCAAUUGUGCGAUUUUGCACCCCAUAGUUUUAAACGAGCGAUUUUGCCCCCUAUAGUUUUCCCCCUUUCUGAUUUUAUGGUCCCCAUGACAUUUAGUGCUGAUGUGUCUGUUUUUUAUCAAUUAAUGUGUGUCACGUGUGUAAUUUCAUUUUUUUAAAAAAAUAAAAAAAUAGUAUUUUUCAGAUUUUGAGAGAAGGAGACACGUGACCAACAAUAGAAUUUAGUGCUGAAAAUCUGAAAAAUACC
rnacentral:lncRNA from 1 species